CCUACGGGAGGCAGCAGUGAGGAAUAUUGGACAAUGGGCGCAAGCCUGAUCCAGCCAUGCCGCGUGCAGGAAGACGGUCCUAUGGAUUGUAAACUGCUUUUAUACAGGAAGAAACACCUCUACGUGUAGAGACUUGACGGUACUGUAUGAAUAAGCAUCGGCUAACUCCGUGCCAGCAGCCGCGGUAAUACGGAGGAUGCAAGCGUUAUCCGGAAUCAUUGGGUUUAAAGGGUCCGUAGGCGGUUUAAUAAGUCAGUGGUGAAAGCCCAUCGCUCAACGAUGGAACGGCCAUUGAUACUGUUAAACUUGAAUUAUUAGGAAGUAACUAGAAUAUGUAGUGUAGCGGUGAAAUGCUUAGAGAUUACAUGGAAUACCAAUUGCGAAGGCAGGUUACUACUAAUAUAUUGACGCUGAUGGACGAAAGCGUGGGGAGCGAACAGGAUUAGAUACCCUGGUAGUCCACGCCGUAAACGAUGGAUACUAGCUGUUCGGAGCAAUCUGNGUGNGUAGAGAAGAGAUAGUAUACCACCGNGGAGUACGUCGCGAGAAGAGAAGACGAAGAGUAGUAGAGAGAGAGAGCGACGACGACGACGACGGAGGGAGGAGG
rnacentral:rRNA from 1 species